UACGUAGGGGGCAAGCGUUGUCCGGAAUUAUUGGGCGUAAAGAGCGUGUAGGCGGCUAAACAGGUCUGCUGUGAAAACUCGAGGCUCAACCUCGAGACGUCGGUUGAAACCGUUUGGCUAGAGUCCGGAAGAGGAGAGUGGAAUUCCCGGUGUAGCGGUGAAAUGCGCAGAUAUCGGGAAGAACACCCGUGGCGGAGGCGGCUCUCUGGGACGGUACUGACGCUGAGACGCGAAAGCGUGGGGAGCAAACAGG
rnacentral:rRNA from 1 species